UAGGGAAUCUUCGGCAAUGGGGGGAACCCUGACCGAGCAACGCCGCGUGAGUGAAGAAGGUUUUCGGAUCGUAAAGCUCUGUUGUUAAGGAAGAACGAGUGUGAGAAUGGAAAGUUCAUACUGUGACGGUACUUAACCAGAAAGGGACGGCUAACUACGUGCCAGCAGCCGCGGUAAUACGUAGGUCCCGAGCGUUGUCCGGAUUUAUUGGGCGUAAAGCGAGCGCAGGCGGUUAGAUAAGUCUGAAGUUAAAGGCAGUGGCUCAACCAUUGUAGGCUUUGGAAACUGUUUAACUUGAGUGCAGAAGGGGAGAGUGGAAUACCAUGUGUAGCGGUGAAAUGCGUAGAUAUAUGGAGGAACACCGGUGGCGAAAGCGGCUCUCUGGUCUGUAACUGACGCUGAGGCUCGAAAGCGUGGGGAGCGAACAGG
rnacentral:rRNA from 1 species